rnacentral:lncRNA from 1 species
GGUGUUCUCUAUGAGCCUUGGAUGGACAAUUCGGGUUUUGGUUUGGUAUGUGAUGGGGCAUUGGUUGAGAAUGGUAAUGGGGUUCCAGGGUAUGGGAAUGGAGCUGAACAGCCUAUGGAUAUGGCACUGGCGUGUGGAUCCGCCCACGAACAGCCUAUGGAUAUGGCACUGGAGGGUGGAUCUGCCCCUUUUCAGAUUGCGUAUCCUUCUACAUCUCCGAUCUCCCACAACUCUGAUCUUAGUAGUGAUUUAGAUGGGCUUUACUCCGGUGGUGCAGAUUUUUCACAGUAUGACGU